CGCAGGAGGUGAAGGUGAGGACGUUGGCUUCGUCACCUUGAAGGUCUGCUCAGUUCAAGAAAGAAUUCAAAUCCCAACACAGGUGCCCAUGGAAAGAAGUGGUUCUGGUGACUCCCUGGUGUAAUGGCACCAGAACUGAUGCCAUAGGAACCAGGGUCUUCCUGGGACCUCGCUGCUGUUGGAGCCACCUGACUUGGGCUCUGUUGCACUGGCAAACACAGGUAGACUGUACCCAGGAUAUUUGUGCCAUAGAACGUCUUGGCAGCGUCCAGAUGGGGAUGGCCCAGGACGGGCACUACGUACCCCCUCAUUCGUUGCUGGACCUCACGCUCCGAGGAGCCGAGCCACACCCCGGUGCAAUGUCUGGCACAUAUUUGGUGCAUGGAAAGCUCUCACCCGUGGCACUGGCUGUCACUCAGCAAGUGGAGACUGUCCAGGCAGGAUCCUCUGCUCCAUCCCCAGCAGCAGCCCCCCCGGAUCGAGCCUGGUGCAGAGAACAGGGCAACCAGGAGGGUCCCUAUGCUCCCUAGGCCCUGCUCUCUACUUCUUCUUCAAUCAUCAAACAAGCAUGUUUUGGUUUAUAAAGUUCUUUCUCAGAUGCCUCUGCCUGUGAGGUAGAAACCCCCUUCUGAUUGUGGAGGACACUGCCAGUCUGUAGUAGUGGCAGGGGAACACAUGCUGAUUUUGUUGGUGUAGAUUAGUUUCCUGUCAUGUAUUAUGCUAGGCCAAGUCUCCUCCCGGGGGGCGGGGCAGCACCAGGGCCUGGUUGUCCCAUCUGACAUAGGUCACCUCUCUUCCCUUUGCUAGAGCACCAAGGCUUAGGCUUUUCCCUUUUCUCCCUUAAAUAUCAACUUAACUCAUCCCUGACUUUUUCUUUCUGUUACCCUCUCUCCUCUCCUUUCGCUCUUUCUGUUUCCUCUCUUCUUCCUCUCUCCCCCUCCCCCAUCUCUCACCAUACAUUUAUUUUUUUUCUUAUUGUGCAUGCCCAAGAAUCCGUGUGCAUGGCCAUGGAGGUAGCCCCAAAUGGUUCUGAGGCUGACAACUGGAUGGAAGACCUACAGGGAGGGAUAUAACCUCUUGAUGCACACCUCUUCUGGCUGGCUAUUGGUGUGUAAACCAAAAUAAAACAUGUAAUGGUGUGAAGUGCA
rnacentral:lncRNA from 12 species